GAUGAACGCUAGCGGCAGGCCUAACACAUGCAAGUCAGGGGGUAACAUAGAAAAGCUUGCUUUUCUGAUGACGACCGGCGCACGGGUGCGUAACGCGUAUACAACCUACCUUUUAGCGGGGAAUAGCCCAGGGAAACUUGGAUUAAUGCCCCAUAGUAUAUAGACUUCUCCUGAAGUUUAUAUUAAACAUUUAUGGCUAUUAGAUGGGUAUGCGUCCUAUUAGUUAGUUGGUAAGGUAACGGCUUACCAAGGCAGCGAUAGGUAGGGGUCCUGAGAGGGAGAUCCCCACACUGGUACUGAGACACGGACCAGACUCCUACGGGAGGCAGCAGUGAGGAAUAUUGGACAAUGGGCGAGAGCCUGAUCCAGCCAUGCCGCGUGCAGGAAGACUGCCCUAUGGGUUGUAAACUGCUUUUACAGAGGAAGAACCACCCCCACGUGUGGGGGUUUGACGGUACUCUGCGAAUAAGGAUCGGCUAACUCCGUG
rnacentral:rRNA from 1 species